UCCAGACUCCUACGGGAGGCAGCAGUGGGGAAUAUUGCACAAUGGGGGAAACCCUGAUGCAGCGACGCCGCGUGAGCGAUGAAGUAUUUCGGUAUGUAAAGCUCUAUCAGCAGGGAAGAAGAUGACGGUACCUGACUAAGAAGCCCUGGCUAACUACGUGCCAGCAGCCGCGGUAAUACGUAGGGGGCAAGCGUUAUCCGGAUUUACUGGGUGUAAAGGGAGCGUAGACGGCGAUGCAAGCCAGAUGUGAAAGCCCGGGGCUCAACCCCGGGACUGCAUUUGGAACUGUGUGGCUGGAGUGUCGGAGAGGCAGGCGGAAUUCCUAGUGUAGCGGUGAAAUGCGUAGAUAUUAGGAAGAACACCAGUGGCGAAGGCGGCUUGCUGGACAGUAACUGACGUUGAGGCUCGAAAGCGUGGGGAGCAAACAGGAUUAGAUACCCGCGUACA
rnacentral:rRNA from 1 species